UGAGUAACACGUAUCCAACCUGCCGUCUACUCUUGGCCAGCCUUCUGAAGGAAGAUUAAUCCAGGAUGGCAUCAUGAGUUCACAUGUCCGCAUGAUUAAAGGUAUUUUCCGGUAGACGAUGGGGAUGCGUUCCAUUAGAUAGUAGGCGGGGCAACGGCCCACCUAGUCAACGAUGGAUAGGGGUUCUGAGAGGAAGGUCCCCCACAUUGGAACUGAGACACGGUCCAA
rnacentral:rRNA from 1 species